rnacentral:rRNA from 1 species
UCCUACGGGAGGCAGCAGUGGGGAAUAUUGCACAAUGGGCGCAAGCCUGAUGCAGCGACGCCGCGUGAGGGAUGACGGCCUUCGGGUUGUAAACCUCUUUCAGUAGGGAAGAAGCGUAAGUGACGGUACCUGCAGAAGAAGCGCCGGCUAACUACGUGCCAGCAGCCGCGGUAAUACGUAGGGCGCAAGCGUUAUCCGGAAUUAUUGGGCGUAAAGAGCUCGUAGGCGGUUUGUCGCGUCUGCUGUGAAAGACCGGGGCUCAACUCCGGUUCUGCAGUGGGUACGGGCAGACUAGAGUGCAGUAGGGGAGACUGGAAUUCCUGGUGUAGCGGUGAAAUGCGCAGAUAUCAGGAGGAACACCGAUGGCGAAGGCAGGUCUCUGGGCUGUAACUGACGCUGAGGAGCGAAAGCAUGGGGAGCGAACAGGAUUAGAUACCCUGGUAGUCCAUGCCGUAAACGUUGGGCACUAGGUGUGGGGGACAUUCCACGUUUUCCGCGCCGUAGCCUAAAGCAUUAAGUGCCCC